rnacentral:rRNA from 1 species
GGUGUUCUUCCCGAUAUCUACACAUUCCACCGUUACACCGGGAAUUCCAGUCUCCCCUACCGCACUCAAGCCCGCCCGUACCCGGCGCGGAUCCACCGUUAAGCGAUGGACUUUCACACCGGACGCGACGAACCGCCUACGAGCCCUUUACGCCCAAUAAUUCCGGAUAACGCUUGCACCCUACGUAUUACCGCGGCUGCUGGCACGUAGUUAGCCGGUGCUUAUUCGAAAGGUACACUCACCCCGAAGGGCUUGCUCCCAGUCAAAAGCGGUUUACAACCCGAAGGCCGUCAUCCCGCACGCGGCGUCGCUGCAUCAGGCUUGCGCCCAUUGUGCAAUAUUCCCCACUGCUGCCUCCCGUAGGAGUCUGGGCCGUAUCUCAGUCCCAAUGUGGCCGGUCGCCCUCUCAGGCCGGCUACCCGUCGAAGCCAUGGUGGGCCGUUACCCCGCCAUCAAGCUGAUAGGACGCGACCCCAUCCCAUACCGCAAAAGCUUUCCCAGAGGACAUGCGGUCACUGGAGCAUCCGGCAUUACACCCGUUUCCA